rnacentral:ncRNA from 2 species
AUUCAUCUUCGGGGCAGGGUGAAAUUCCCGAUCGGCGGUGAUAGAAGUUGCAAUUUCUGACCAUUUUUUGGAGGAUGUUGUAAAAAGCUUCUUUAGCCCGCGAGCUUGAUUUUUGAGCAGGAUUUGGUGCGAUUCCAAAGCCGACAGUAUAGUCUGGAUGGGAGAAGGUGAAG